CGCACGCCGUUGAUAACAGAAGAGGAAGCACAAAUAUAAUUAUAGAAACUGCUGCAGUGUGACAAUCAUCUGUAGAUACAUACUGACUAGAAAAAGAAGAAUUUACUCUGAAAUCAAACUAAAUAAUUGUACAGAAAUAUGCCCGAAAUAUGCUCCUCACUGUCAGUUCAGUACGGCUCGGACUACACUUCCCAGAGACUCUGUGCGGUCGGACGUUUCUCUAUGCCAUCAGGUGUUGGAGUUGGUCAUUAUGGAAACGGUAUAGCGGUAUGUAUUCUGAUGGACAUUAGGAUUAGAAAGGAAUUUGGUUCCCCCAAAAAGAGAACAAUUACUUGCCACUAAGGAGGCUGUUUUUGCAUUCCUCCAAACUAGUAUUGUAGGAUGUCCAAUAACAGAGAAGACAUGAGAGAUGGCACUCACCACCCAGAGAUAUGCUUUAUUCACGAUGCAGGAGCAUGGCUGUUACAGGCAAGUCUGGCAGAACGAGAACAGGGGGCAACCUGGUUCGGUCGACGAACGAUGAAUACCUGUGACUCAAUAUCGUUUAAAAAAAAUUUUUUUUAUUCUUUAUUAAUAGUUUCCAAUAUACGUAACAUAACAUUAUAACACAGUGGUAUAUCCAAUUGCACAGAUAAAAAAUGCAAAAGCAGCUGAGUUUCCCUUCAUGUCUCGAAAACAAAAAAACUACGUAUUUUAGGGCUUAUUUGAUGGACUGAACUCCAGCAAUUUACACCAUAUUCUAUUAAAGUCUUUCUGUUGCGAAUGCUAUAGACCGCUCCAUAUAACAAUUAGCAUGUACUGAACUAAUUAUAGUCUUAAGGGCCGGAAUGUCUGCACUUUUCCAGUUUGUCGCUAUUUUAUUCCUUGUAACUCUCAAAAAAUGAACCAUUACUGUCACGUCUGGUGAUGUUAAAUCUUCCAAA